rnacentral:rRNA from 1 species
AUUAAUGGCCGCGGUACUUUGACCGUGCUAAGGUAGCGUAAUCAAUUGGUUUUUAAUUGGAGCCAGGUAUGAAUGGAGUUACGGGGUUUAGCUGUCUCUGAACUAUUUUAUCGAACUUACUAUGUAAGUGAAAAAGCUUACUUUUAGAAAAAGGACGAGAAGACCCUUAGAGUUUUACUAAAAUUAAGAAAAUAUUUUGUUCUUAAAACAGUUUAGUUGGGGCAACAAAGGAGCACAACAGGUUUAAAUCUCCUUAUAAUAAUUUAUCGAUUAUUUUAGGUUUGAAUAAACUACCUUAGGGAUAACAGCAUAAUUUUAUUAGUAAGUUUGUGACCUCGAUGUUGGACUAGGAAACUUAAAGGUUAGCCGCCUUUGAGGCAAGUUCUGUUCGAACUGUAAUUCCU